UGCCAGCAGCCGCGGUAAUACGUAGGUGGCAAGCGUUGUCCGGAUUUACUGGGCGUAAAGAGUGUGUAGGCGGAUGAUUAAGUCAGAUGUGAAAUACCGGGGCUCAACCCCGGAACUGCAUUUGAUACUGGUCAUCUAGAGUGCAGGAGAGGAGAGUGGAAUUCCUAGUGUAGCGGUGAAAUGCGUAGAGAUUAGGAAGAACACCAGUGGCGAAGGCGACUCUCUGGACUGUAACUGACGCUGAGACACGAAAGCGUGGGGAGCGAACAGGAUUAGAUA
rnacentral:rRNA from 1 species